rnacentral:rRNA from 1 species
AGUGAACGCUGGCGGUAGGCCUAACACAUGCGAGUCGAACGGCAGCACAGUAAGAGCUUGCUCUUACGGGUGGCGAGUGGCGGACGGGUGAGGAAUACAUCGGAAUCUACUUUUUCGUGGGGGAUAACGUAGGGAAACUUACGCUAAUACCGCAUACGACCUACGGGUGAAAGCAGGGGAUCUUCGGACCUUGCGCGAUUGAAUGAGCCGAUGUCGGAUUAGCUAGUUGGCGGGGUAAAGGCCCACCAAGGCGACGAUCCGUAGCUGGUCUGAGAGGAUGAUCAGCCACACUGGAACUGAGACACGGUCCAGACUCCUACGGGGGGCAGCAGUGGGGAAUAUUGGACAAUGGGCGCAAGCCUGAUCCAGCCAUACCGCGUGGGUGAAGAAGGCCUUCGGGUUGUAAAGCCCUUUUGUUGGGAAAGAAGAGCAGCAGGUUAAUACCCCGCUGUUCUGACGGUACCCAAAGAAUAAGCACCGGCUAACUUCGUG